AGCGAACGCUGGCGGCAGGCCUAACACAUGCAAGUCGAACGGACUCUUCGGAGUUAGUGGCGGACGGGUGAGUAACACGUGGGAACGUGCCUUUUGGUUCGGAAUAACUCAGGGAAACUUGUGCUAAUACCGAAUGUGCCCUUCGGGGGAAAGAUUUAUCGCCAUUAGAGCGGCCCGCGUCUGAUUAGCUAGUUGGUGAGGUAACGGCUCACCAAGGCGACGAUCAGUAGCUGGUCUGAGAGGAUGACCAGCCACACUGGGACUGAGACACGGCCCAGACUCCUACGGGAGGCAGCAGUGGGGAAUCUUGCGCAAUGGGCGAAAGCCUGACGCAGCCAUGCCGCGUGAAUGAUGAAGGUCUUAGGAUUGUAAAAUUCUUUCAACGGGGACGAUAAUGACGGUACCCGGAGAAGAAGCCCCGGCUAACUUCGUG
rnacentral:rRNA from 1 species